GUAGGUGGCAAGCGUUGUCCGGAAUUAUUGGGCGUAAAGCGCGCGCAGGCGGUUCUUUAAGUCUGAUGUGAAAGCCCACGGCUCAACCGUGGAGGGUCAUUGGAAACUGGAGAACUUGAGUACAGAAGAGGAAAGCGGAAUUCCACGUGUAGCGGUGAAAUGCGUAGAGAUGUGGAGGAACACCAGUGGCGAAGGCGGCUUUCUGGUCUGUAACUGACGCUGAGGCGCGAAAGCGUGGGGAACAAACAGGGAUUAGAUACCCUGGUAGUCCACGCCGUAAACGAUAAGUGCUAAGUGUUAGGGGGUUUCCCGCCCCUUAGUGCUGCAGCUAACGCAUUAAGCACUCCGCCUGGGGAGUACGGCCGCAAGGCUA
rnacentral:rRNA from 1 species